UCUCAACCUAAACUUUAAAUCACUAUGUAUUUUAAGUGUCACACUUUCUACGGUGUCACUUUAAAAUAAAUUAUGACUCAAGUCACCUCAAACCAUGCAAACUUUAUUUUUUGUGACUGACCUGCAGGGAAAAGAAAAAGGAGUGCACAUACAGUGUAUGAAGUCCCUCAGGAAAAUCCACAAACAAAUCCCUAUGAAUCUCCUGCAGAGGUUACAACACCUUCUUCUCCAACAUCAACUUAUGCAUUGGUGCAGUUUUCCCAUCAUCUUGACCAGCCCAAUGAUACUGCAACCGGCCCAAACCAACUGCCUGAAACAAUUUAUGCACAGGUUAACAGAGCUGAUAAGAACAAAUCCAAACCUGCGACAUCCAACAGAUGACAAAGGAACAACAUUUACUGUAAAUAUGGAAAUGUAUGUUAUUGCAAAGGUUUCUUGUGCUCCUGCCAAAUUAAAAUGUCAGCAAGUUUAUAUAUUUUUGUAUUCUCU